CCUACGGGAGGCAGCAGUGGGGAAUAUUGGGCAAUGGGCGCAAGCCUGACCCAGCAACGCCGCGUGAAGGAAGAAGGCUUUCGGGUUGUAAACCUCUUUUCACAGGGACGAAAAAAGUGACGGUACCUGCGGAAUAAGCCACGGCUAACUACGUGCAAGCAGCCGCGGUAAUACGUAGGUGGCAAGCGUGAUCCGGAUUUCCUGGGUGUAAAGGGCGUGUAGGCGGGACUGCAAGUCAGAUGUGAAAGCCACGGGCUCAACCUGUGGCCUGCAUUUGAAACGGUAGUUCUUGAGUACUGGAGAGGCAGACGGAAUUCCUGGUGUAGCGGUGAAAUGCGUAGAUAUUAGGAGGAACACCAGUGGCGAAGGCGG
rnacentral:rRNA from 1 species